rnacentral:rRNA from 1 species
GGCCAAGUUUUUAAGGGCGCACGGUGGAUGCCUUGGCACCAGGAACCGAUGAAGGACGUGGGAGGCCACGAUAGUCCCCGGGGAGUCGUCAACCAGGCUUUGAUCCGGGGGUUUCCGAAUGGGGAAACCCGGCAGUCGUCAUGGGCUGUCACCCGCUGCUGAACACAUAGGCAGUGUGGAGGGAACGCGGGGAAGUGAAACAUCUCAGUACCCGCAGGAAGAGAAAACAACCGUGAUUCCGGGAGUAGUGGCGAGCGAAACUGGAUGAGGCCAAACCGUAUACGUGUGAGACCCGGCAGGGGUUGCGUGUGCGGGGUUGUGGGAUCUCUCUUCUGUUGUCUGCCGGCAACAGGACGAGUCAGAAACCGUUGAUGUAGGCGAAGGACAUGCGAAAGGUCCGGCGUAGAGGGUAAGACCCCCGUAGUCGAAACAUCAGCGGCUCGUUUGAGAGACACCCAAGUAGCACGGGGCCCGAGAAAUCCCGUGUGAAUCUGGCGGGACCACCCGCUAAGCCUAAAUAUUCCCUGGUGACCGAUAGCGGAUAGUACCGUGAGGGAAUGGUGAAAAGUACCGCGGGAGCGGAGUGAAAUAGUACCUGAAACCGUGUGCCUACAAGCCGUGGGAGCGUCGGACAUCAAGCUUGCUUGGUGUCUCGUGACUGCGUGCCUUUUGAAGAAUGAGCCUGCGAGUUUGCGGUGUGUUGCGAGGUUAACCCGGGUGGGGUAGCCGUAGCGAAAGCGAGUCCGAACAGGGCGUUUCAGUAGCACGCUCAAGAC